rnacentral:rRNA from 1 species
GAUGAACGCUGGCGGCGUGCCUAAUACAUGCAAGUCGAGCGAACAGACGAGGAGCUUGCUCCUCUGACGUUAGCGGCGGACGGGUGAGUAACACGUGGAUAACCUACCUAUAAGACUGGGAUAACUUCGGGAAACCGGAUCUAAUACCGUAUAAUAUAUUGAACCGCAUGGUUCAUUAGUGAAAGACGGUUUUGCUGUCACUUAUAGAUGGAUCCGCGCCGCAUUAGCUAGUUGGUAAGGUAACGGCUUACCAAGGCAACGAUGCGUAGCCGACCUGAGAGGGUGAUAGCCCACACUAGAACUGAGACACGGUCAAGACGCCUACGGGACGCAGCAGUCGGGAAUCUUCCGCAAUGGGCGAAAGCCUGACGGAGCAACGCCGCGUGAGUGAUGAAGGUCUUCGGAGCGUAAAACUCUGUUAUUAGGGAAGAACAAAUGUGUAAGUAACUAUGCACGUCUUGACGGUACCUAAUCAGAAAGCCACGGCUAACUACGUG